AGUCUGCAACCCGACUACAUGAAGCUGGAAUCGCUAGUAAUCGCGAACCAGAAUGUCGCGGUGAAUACGUUCCCGGGUCUUGUACACACCGCCCGUCACACCAUGGGAGUCGGAAAUGCCCGAAGUCAGUGACCCAACCGCAAGGAGGGAGCUGCCGAAGGUGGAGCCGGUAACUGGGGUGAAGUCGUAACAAGGUAUC
rnacentral:rRNA from 1 species